rnacentral:lncRNA from 1 species
CACCUCCGACAGAUAAUUGGGAAGGGUUUCCAGAGGUGGGAAAUGUCACCUGAUUCACACUGAACUUUUAAAAGCUCCCCACCCCCAAGGAGCCGCGUACACCCUCGCUCGCGGCCGCCCUCCCACAGCCCCACACACUGGGAGACCGCCCACCGCAAACCGCGGAGACCCCCGUCUAGAUUUAAAGCGCGGCUGCGCCCGGCUUCUGACGUCCAUUGAAUCGCGCGGGCGGCCGGCGGCGAGCGCGGGGCUGCGCCGGGAUCGCUGCGCCCUCCGCCGCUCGCCUCUGCGACGCG